rnacentral:rRNA from 1 species
CGCAUCUGUGCAUGCAGCAUAUCAAUAAGCGGAGGAAAAGUAAAUGCUGUAUACCUACGCUUAGGAUGUUGACGAGACUGUCGAUCUCAUCUAUGCAUGACUCUGUGCAUAUCAAUAAGCGGAGGAAAAGAAACUAACAAGGAUUCCCCUAGUAACGGCGAGUGAAGCGGGAAGAGCUCAAAUUUGAAAUCUUAAAGGGUUUCCCUUUACGAAUUGUAGUUUAAAGAAGUGUUUUCUGUUGAGGUUUUGGUAAAAGUUCUUUGGAAUAGGACAUCAUAGAGGGUGAGAAUCCCGUAUUUGACCUUUACUUUCAACUUUGUGAUACACUUUCAAAGAGUCGGAUUGUUUGGGAAUGCAGUCCAAAAUGGGUGGUAAAUUUCAUCUAAAGCUAAAUAUUGGCGAGAGACCGAUAGCGAACAAGUACCGUGAGGGAAAGAUGAAAAGAACUUUGAAAAGAGAGGUUAAACAGUACGUGAAAUUGUCAAAAGGGAAGCGUUUGACACCAGUGUUGUUUUUCUGAAAAUCAAUUAAAGAACUGUUUAUGCUAAGUUGUUUAGACUUUAUCAGCUAUCUGUUUAGUUUUGAGCUUUUCUUUAAUGCACUUUUCAGUUAACAAGUCAACAUCAAUUUCUUUUGCUGUAAAAAAGCUUGAGGAAGGUGGCUUGAGAUUCGUCUUAAGUGUUUAUAGCCUCUUGCCUAUGCAGUCGGAGAGAUUGAGGUCUGCAGCGUAGAUCCUUCGGGGCUAAAUGCAUUUGUGCUAAGUUAUAGCAUUUUAUAGACAACUUGUUGACUAUGAUUUGUCUUGUAGCUUACUCGCUUAUGUUAUUUUACCUACGCUUAGGAUGUUGACGAGACUGUCGAUCUC